GGUGAACGCUGGCGGCGCGCUUAAGACAUGCAAGUCGCACGGCAGUCUUCGGACUGUAGUGGCGCACGGGUGAGUAACGCGUAACUGACCUACCCCAAAGUCGCGGAUAACGAUUCGAAAGAAUCGCUAAUACGUGAUGUGCUGUCAGAUUGUGUUCUGCCAGUAAAGAUUGAUUGCUUUGGGAUGGGGUUGCGUUCCAUCAGCUAGUUGGUGGGGUAAAGGCCCACCAAGGAUAAGACGGGUAGCUGAUCUGAGAGGAUGAUCAGCCACACUGGAACUGAGACACGGCCCAGACUCCUACGGGAGGCGGCAGUGGGGAAUAUUGGACAAUGGGGGAAACCCUGAUCCAGCGACGCCGCGUGGGUGAAGAAGGCCUGCGGGUUGUAAAGCCCUUUCGGUAGGGACGAAAGCUCUCGACCUAACACGUCGGGAGGUUGACUUAACCUACAAAAGAAGCACCGGCUAACUCUGUGCCAGCAGCCGCGGUAACAC
rnacentral:rRNA from 1 species